rnacentral:rRNA from 1 species
UACGUAGGGGGCAAGCGUUUGUCCGGAAUCAUUGGGCGUAAAGCGCGUGUAGGCGGUUCGAUAAGUCUGCUGUGAAAGUCCAGGGCUCAACCCUGGAAAGCCGGUGGAUACUGUCAGACUAGAGUGCGGAAGAGGCGAGUGGAAUUCCCGGUGUAGCGGUGAAAUGCGCAGAUAUCGGGAGGAACACCAAUUGCGAAGGCAGCUCGCUGGGACGUCACUGACGCUGAGACGGCGAAAGCGUGGGGAGCAAACAGG